AAUCAGCACUGGCGGCGUGCCUAACACAUGCAAGUCGAGCGAGAAAAGGGGAGCAAUCCCCUGAGUACAGCGGCGCACGGGUGAGUAACACGUGGGUAAUCUGCCCUGGAGUGGGGAAUAACACCGGGAAACCGGUGCUAAUACCGCAUACGAUCACAGAGUCUGCGGAUUUUGUGAUGAAAGGAGCAAUUCGCUCUAGGAGGAGCCCGCGGCUGAUUAGCUAGUUGGUGAGGUAAUGGCUCACCAAGGCAACGAUCAGUAUCCGGUCUGAGAGGACGGUCGGACACACUGGAACUGAGACACGGUCCAGACUCCUACGGGAGGCAGCAGUGGGGAAUUUUUGGCAAUGGGGGCAACCCUGACCAAGCAACGCCGCGUGGGUGAUGAAGUCUCUUGGGACGUAAAACCCUUUCGACGGGGACGAAACCGCAAGGUUGACGGUACCCGUAGAAGAAGCCCCGGCUAGCUCCGUGCCAGCCGCCGCGGUAA
rnacentral:rRNA from 1 species